rnacentral:rRNA from 1 species
UACGAAGGGGGCUAGCGUUGCUCGGAAUCACUGGGCGUAAAGCGCACGUAGGCGGAUCUUUUAAGUCAGGGGUGAAAUCCCGGAGCUCAACUCCGGAACUGCCUUUGAUACUGGAGAUCUUGAGUCCGGGAGAGGUGAGUGGAACUGCGAGUGUAGAGGUGAAAUUCGUAGAUAUUCGCAAGAACACCAGUGGCGAAGGCGGCUCACUGGCCCGGUACUGACGCUGAGGUGCGAAAGCGUGGGGAGCAAACAGG